rnacentral:rRNA from 1 species
AGUGAACGCUGGCGGUAGGCCUAACACAUGCAAGUCGAACGGCAGCACAGUAAGAGCUUGCUCUUACGGGUGGCGAGUGGCGGACGGGUGAGGAAUACAUCGGAAUCUACUUUUUCGUGGGGGAUAACGUAGGGAAACUUACGCUAAUACCGCAUACGACCUACGGGUGAAAGCAGGGGAUCUUCGGACCUUGCGCGAUUGAAUGAGCCGAUGUCGGAUUAGCUAGUUGGCGGGGUAAAGGCCCACCAAGGCGACGAUCCGUAGCUGGUCUGAGAGGAUGAUCAGCGACACUGGAACUGAGACACGGUCCAGACUCCUACGGGAGGCAGCAGUGGGGAAUAUUGGACAAUGGGCGCAAGCCUGAUCCAGCCAUACCGCGUGGGUGAAGAAGGCGUUCGGGUUGUAAAGCCCUUUUGUUGGGAAAGAAAAGCAGCAGGUUAAUACCCCGCUGUUCUGACGGUACCCAAAGAAUAAGCACCGGCUAACUUCGUG